rnacentral:tRNA from 1 species
UGGAGCAUAGCUUAAUCGGUAUAGAGCAGCGGUCUCCAAAACCGUUAGUAUAGGUUCGAGUCCUAUUGUUCCAG